rnacentral:rRNA from 1 species
AUGCAAAGACAAGGAUAUCCAAGAACGCAUCCAGGAAACCUCUUCUUCCUUACUUUAAAUCAACAAUUAAACAUUGCACUCUGGGGAGGCAUUCGCACAGUCCAAGCCUGGUGGACGGCGACGGUUCUUAGGCGUGGACAUAGGAGGAAGGCCAUUUCAUCACUUCUCAUGCUCGUCACAUGAGAUAUAUGGAACGAGGGAAACACUAGAGCUUUUCGUACCAAAUCGACUAUGCCUACUGUACUAGUAGACAACAUCAAAUGGGGGGCAAGGAAUUGGGGCCUUGCAGGGGCGAAACAAUUCUGCGCCUCGAUGCCGCGAGAGUAG